UACGUAGGGUGCAAGCGUUAAUCGGAAUUACUGGGCGUAAAGCGUGCGCAGGCGGUGAUGUAAGACAGAUGUGAAAUCCCCGGGCUCAACCUGGGAACUGCAUUUGUGACUGCAUCGCUGGAGUGCGGCAGAGGGGGAUGGAAUUCCGCGUGUAGCAGUGAAAUGCGUAGAUAUGCGGAGGAACACCGAUGGCGAAGGCAAUCCCCUGGGCCUGAACUGACGCUCAUGCACGGAAGCGUGGGGAGCAAACAGG
rnacentral:rRNA from 1 species